rnacentral:rRNA from 1 species
AACGAACGCUGGCGGCGUGCCUAACACAUGCAAGUCGAGCGAGAAAGUCCCGGUAACGGGAUGAGUAAAGCGGCAAACGGGUGAGUAACGCGUGGGUAAUCUACCCUACGGAUCGGGAUAACCUGCCGAAAGGUGGACUAAUACCGGAUGAUGUUUUUGCGGUGAUUCCGUGAGAACCAAAGGGGGCGAGCGUAAGCAGCUCUCACCGAAGGAGGAGCCUGCGUCCGAUUAGCUAGUUGGUGGGGUAAUGGCCUACCAAGGCGACGAUCGGUAGCCGGCCUGAGAGGGCGAUCGGCCACACUGGAACUGAGACACGGUCCAGACUCCUACGGGAGGCUG